GGCACUCUAGGCUUUGUUCCCGGUUCUGGGAUUCAGAGACAAGAGACUCACCACCUUCCCUCCAGGAGCUCACGCUCUAG
rnacentral:miRNA from 1 species